rnacentral:lncRNA from 1 species
ACCUCGUGGCAGACUCAAGAGGUAUAACCCUCACCCAGAGAACUUUCUGGAAAAUUAACUGAGUGCGUACUUGCUUAAAGGGCACUGUGCUUGGAGAUCAGGACAAAAAGGCCAUUAUCAGAAAAGCUAAGUUUGCUGUAUAAUAAGGAUCAGAAGAUCUGAUCCUGAUUACAGAAUCUUAGGUUGUGACUCCCCCCAUCCUUCCAGACCAUCCCAGAAGAGCUAUAAGACUGCAUCUGAGAAAACACUAGGAGUUCUUGGAAGAGCAAGAAGGAAGAGGAUUAUGUAAGUCAAAGGAAUUGUUGCAUCUGUCACACCUGGU